GUGGGGAAUCUUGCGCAAUGGGCGAAAGCCUGACGCAGCCAUGCCGCGUGAAUGAUGAAGGUCUUAGGAUUGUAAAAUUCUUUCACCGGGGACGAUAAUGACGGUACCCGGAGAAGAAGCUCCGGCUAACUUCGUGCCAGCAGCCGCGGUAAUACGAAGGGGGCUAGCGUUGCUCGGAAUUACUGGGCGUAAAGGGCGCGUAGGCGGACAGCUUAGUCAGAGGUGAAAGCCCAGGGCUCAACCUUGGAAUUGCCUUUGAUACUGGCUGGCUUGAGUGUGGGAGAGGUGAGUGGAACUCCGAGUGGAGAGGUGAAAUUCGUAGAUAUUCGGAAGAACACCAGUGGCGAAGGCGACUCACUGGCCCAAUACUGACGCUGAGGCGCGAAAGCGUGGGGAGCAAACAGGAUUAGAAACCCGAGUAGUCC
rnacentral:rRNA from 1 species